rnacentral:rRNA from 1 species
UACGGAGGGAGCUAGCGUUGUUCGGAAUUACUGGGCGUAAAGCGCACGUAGGCGGCGAUUCAAGUCAGAGGUGAAAGCCCGGGGCUCAACCCCGGAACUGCCUUUGAAACUAGAUUGCUAGAAUCCUGGAGAGGUGAGUGGAAUUCCGAGUGUAGAGGUGAAAUUCGUAGAUAUUCGGAAGAACACCAGUGGCGAAGGCGACUCACUGGACAGGUAUUGACGCUGAGGCGCGAAGGCUAGGGGAGCGAACGGG